CUCUGCAUCUGCUCCUGCUUUCUGACCUGCUUGAGUUCCAGUCCUGACUUCCUUGGUGAUGAACAGCAGUAUGGAAGUGUAAGUCCAAUAAACCCUUUCCUCCCCAACCUGCUUCUUGGUCAUGGUGUUUGUUUAGGAAUAGAAACCCUGACUAAGACACUAGGUAAUCUCCUUCUUAGUGGCAGCAAGGUCAAAGUCUGGAUCAGCCUGCUCCAAGGCUCAGGGAGGCUACAGAGCAUGAGAGAGUGACCAAGCAAGAAAGCAAAGCAGGAAGUAGUGUUUUUGUCAAAUGUUUUUGCCUUCAUUUUCUAGCUUCAGUUUCUAGUCUGAGCUCCCAGUAUGGUGGGCUGUGAUCUGACAGAACCAUUUAAAACAUUUAUUACCUGAGAUGCUUCUGCUCAGAGGAAAACAAUCACAUCAGCAGAGUUGCAAGGUAGAGCAACAACAAUAACAACAACAACAGCAAUUGUUUCAAAAGCUGAUUUUGCUGCUGGACAGAAUCUCUGGUCUCUUUUGAAGGAAUAUGGAAAAUAUCAGAAAUUGAGAUGGCAAAGGUCAUAGAAAGCUGUACAUGGAGUUUAAUCAGUUGUUCCCAUAGGGUCUGGAAGAUUGGAGUGUUGACAGUAAUGCAGCCACACGAAUUUGAGGUCAUACUAUUUCAGUGGAAAAUGGACUGAAAGCUUUAGGAAGAGGUCAUUUGUGUGAUAUUUUGGCCAAAAAAAAAAAAAAAAAAAUCUUUUGUACUUUGCUUAUGCCCUGAGAUAUUGAGUAUUGAGUAAAAAUUAUUGCCUGAUUUGUAUAUUUUUAUUCUAUUGAUAAGUAUUUGUUCAAUCUUCCUAUUUCUUUAUUCAAGUUACAUUCAUAUCGGUACACCCAUCCCAUUCCACCUUCCACAGUCCCUCAUCACUGACUCCCUUUUAUCUCCCCAUGGAGGGUGGGAACCACUUGAGUAUCCCCCAACUAUGGCAUGUCAAGUCUCUGUAGGGUUAAGUCUCUGCAGGGUUAGACACAUCCUUUCCCACUGAGGUCAGACAAGGCAGCCCAGUAAGGGAAACAGUUUGCACAGACUGGAACAGCUUAAGGGAUAUGUCCCACUCUGGAUGGUGGGGGCCUCCGUCCCAGCCUGUGUGUGCUCUUUGGUUGGUGGCUCCAUCUCUGAGAGUCUCCUAGGUUCCAGGUUAGUUGACUCUGAGGGUCUCCUCAUGGCCUUACUAUUCUUUCAGAGGCCCUCAAUUCUUUCCCCAACUCUUUUAAAAUACUCCCUGAGCCCUGUCCAAUGUUAGGUUGUGGGUCUCUGCAUGUUUCACUCAGAUGCUGGAAGGAGAUUCUCAAAGGACAAUGAUGCUAAGCUACUAUCUGCAAGUAUAACAAAUUAUCCUCAGCAAUGCCAGCCUUGGUGCUUGCCCAUGGGAUGGGUUACCAGUUGGGCAGGGUAUAGUUUGGCCAUUCCCUCAGUCUGUUUCAACUUUGUGCCUGCCUUACUUGCAGC
rnacentral:lncRNA from 1 species